rnacentral:rRNA from 1 species
CUUGAACGCUGGCGGCAUGCUUUACACAUGCAAGUCGAACGGUAGCAGGCCGCAAGGUGCUGACGAGUGGCGAACGGGUGAGUAAUGCAUCGGAACGUGCCCAGUCGUGGGGGAUAACGCAGCGAAAGCUGUGCUAAUACCGCAUACGAUCUAUGGAUGAAAGCGGGGGACCGUAAGGCCUCGCGCGAUUGGAGCGGCCGAUGUCAGAUUAGCUAGUUGGUGGGGUAAAGGCCCACCAAGGCGACGAUCUGUAGCUGGUCUGAGAGGACGACCAGCCACACUGGGACUGAGACACGGCCCAGACUCCUACGGGAGGCAGCAGUGGGGAAUUUUGGACAAUGGGCGCAAGCCUGAUCCAGCAAUGCCGCGUGCAGGAAGAAGGCCUUCGGGUUGUAAACUGCUUUUGUACGGAACGAAACGGUCUGGGUUAAUACCCUGGGCUAAUGACGGUACCGUAAGAAUAAGCACCGGCUAACUACGUGCCAGCCGCCGCGGUAACAC